rnacentral:rRNA from 1 species
CCUACGGGAGGCAGCAGUGGGGAAUUUUGGGCAAUGGGCGAAAGCCUGACCCAGCAACGCCGCGUGAAGGAUGAAAUCCCUCGGGAUGUAAACUUCGCAAGAACGGGAAGAAUAGGUAAGAGCUAACAUCUCUUAUGAUGACGGUACUGUUUGUAAGCUCCGGCUAACUCCGUGCCAGCAGCCGCGGUAAU